rnacentral:tRNA from 1 species
UGAAUUAAGUAUUGAAAGUAUAUAUCACUUACAAUGAUAAGGGCUAUUAUUAGAAUUCAUU